CAAGUUUCUCUCUUUCUCUCCUCCCCUAUUCUCUUUCCUGUUUUUAAUUUGCUCUCUCUUUUCUCUUUAAACCCUAAGUCCGCCGCCGCCGCUGUCCCCUUUCUUCACCUUAUCUACGGCCACCACCUCCAAUAAAAAAAUCUAAGCCAUUUUCGUACUCCUCAUCCCACGGUCUUUCUAAUGAACCGAUUGAAAUUUUAUUUCGAACAACAUCGAUGUCGACCAUGUUACUCCAUCUCCGACGGGUUCGUUAAGAACGACCAUCAUUUCUCCUUCUCCAACCUGUUUAUAUUCCUAUUAACAUGAGAAAGUUAGGUAUGUGGUAUUUUCACUAAAGAAUCAACCUUUCUGAGUUUUUUUUGCUAUUGCUUGCUUUUUCUUUUUACAGGCAUAUAAAGAGGAAAUUGAAGAACUCAAGUUUCUUGCUCAAUGGAAGAGAAACAAAGUUACUUUUUUCUUGCAAAGAUUUAAUUUUUCCUCAUUCAACAUCAAACUCAAGGUGAUAUAUUUCUCCUAUAAUUUUUCCUUACACAAGCAUUUGGAAGUGACUGCAGAUUAAAGAUUUGUGUGCAGGUAAAUGAUUUUCUUAAACAAGACAAAUGAUUUAGUAGGUAUAUCCAAGGUUUCAAAUUUGGGCGGAGGAGUUACUGUCAUGUCAUUUUUGUCUGAGUAAUGAGACAUGGUUAAAUUAAGGAAUAUGCUAUUAUUUUAUUUCUUAAAGUUGGACAAUAAAUUUCAUUUAGAUAUUUAGAUUGUUCAUAGUUUGGCUGUUUGCAAAUCACUACCAUAGUUAAAUUGUUCAUAAUUUAGCUCCUGCAAAUCUAUUUGAUACAUACCAACGUUAUUAUUU